rnacentral:lncRNA from 1 species
GUUUGUGCCGAUAUCAUGAUUGUUGAAUAUUUAUCGACAAAUUGAGGAAUUGGCCGUCCUUGAUCUCUUGUUGAUAAAUGGACAAAAAUUGUGUUGGAUGGGAUAAACUAAUUUUGUCAAACUUAGUAAUGUGUAGCGUUUUGAGCGUUUGGUAGGAGGGUUUGAUACAGGAGUUAUCCGGAGUUGUUUUAGUUGCGUAAUUUUCGAGGGCGAAAAUCUUUUAAGUGGGGGAGAGUUGUAACGACCCAAUUUUCGUAUUAUUAUUUUUAUGUGUUAAAAUAUUUU